UACAUAGGUGGCAAGCGUUGUCCGGAAUGACUGGGCGUAAAGGGAGCGUAGGCGGUCUGUUAAGUUGGAAGUGAAAUCCCGGGGCUCAACCCCGGAACUGCUUUCAAGACUGACGGACUUGAGUGUAAGAGGGGUAAGCGGAAUUCCUAGUGUAGCGGUGGAAUGCGUAGAUAUCAGGAGGAACACCGGCGGCGAAGGCGGCCUGCUGGACCGCGACUGACGUUGAGGCUCGAAAGCGUGGGGAGCAAACAGG
rnacentral:rRNA from 1 species